CGUAAUGCACAGAUUAGAUUAGAUACAAAGGCCUCCCUCACAUUAGUGUCUAUAUGUGCAGACCUGUGGACGUCCCUCAGGCUCAGCAGCCUCUGUGAAACCAGGCGGACAGUGACACUGUGAAGACCUUGAUCAGAGGUGACCUGACGACUGACAAACACAAGUUCAUGUCACCUGGAGUCAGCUGAAGGAAAAUGGCUCAGAGUUUUGUGGAUUUGACUGAAGCUGCUGCACAGAGUGCCAUCGAGAAAAUGGCAGUGGGAAUCUACGUCACCAAUGAGACACCAGACAAUGACUUCAAUGUUAGGGUUAGGGUUAAAGAUGUUCAAGAUCUGGAUAAUGUGGCCCUGGCAGCAUCAACGCUGUUUGGACUUUUUUACUGCUUGAACAUGAAGUAUCCAUCACAGUUCCGCUGCACUUUUGAGGUGAUUCAAAAGGUUGUUAUUGAGUUGGAUGUGACUCAACUGUCAAGAAAAACCCAAAGCUUAGAGACAAAACUGCUCCAGUAAGGUGAGCUCAUGGCCGGAUGUUUGAACAGUUUUGAAAUUUUUAAUUGUUAAUUAUUGAAGAUUUCACUUAAAUGUUUUAAACGCAGUUGCCUGAAAAUGCAUAUAUACGUUUCUGUACACUUGUUGCACAUUUAAUAGCUGUAUUUAUAGGACAUUUUACUCACUAAAGAACUGAUGUUUAGUUUAAUUCAGUAAAGAAUUUUGAGUUUUGGACCAAGAUGCCACACUAAGGUCAGCGCUGAAAUUUGUU